UACGUAGGUGGCAAGCGUUGUCCGGAUUUACUGGGCGUAAAGAGCGCGCAGGCGGUCGUUCAAGUCGCGUGUGAAAGCCCCGGCUCAACUGGGGAGGGUCACGCGAUACUGAUCGACUCGAAGGCAGGAGAGGGUAGUGGAAUUCCCGGUGUAGUGGUGAAAUGCGUAGAUAUCGGGAGGAACACCAGUGGCGAAGGCGACUACCUGGCCUGUUCUUGACGCUGAGGCGCGAAAGCUAGGGGAGCAAACGGG
rnacentral:rRNA from 1 species